UACGUAGGGCGCAAGCGUUGUCCGGAAUUAUUGGGCGUAAAGAGCUCGUAGGCGGCCUGUUGCGUCCGCUGUGAAAUCCCGGGGCUCAACCCCGGGCCUGCAGUGGAUAGGGGCUGGCUGGAGGCAGGCAGGGGAGAACGGAAUUCCUGGUGUAGCGGUGAAAUGCGCAGAUAUCAGGAGGAACACCGGUGGCGAAGGCGGGACUCUGGGCCGAUACUGACGCUGAGGAGCGAAAGCGUGGGGAGCAAACAGG
rnacentral:rRNA from 1 species